rnacentral:ncRNA from 2 species
GACUUAGUGAGGAGUGAUUCGCAAACAAAAGUCCUAGGGUCGAAACACGGCAAGACUCCUAGGGCUUUUUAUUU